rnacentral:misc_RNA from 1 species
AACGCACAUUGCGCCCAUUGGUAUUCCGAUGGGCAUGCCUGUUCGAGCGUCAUUAUCCUCUCUCUACCCUCUCGGGGUGGGCGUUGGACCGAGUGGUGGUUCGUCCGCAACUGGUCUCAAAGACAAUGACGGCGUCCGUGGGGCCCUCUUCGCAACGAGUCUUUCGAGACACGCGGGGAGUUGCAAGGCCUCGUCGGGUCGGUCUAACCUUUUAUUUUCUCAGGUUGACCUCGGAUCAGGUAGGAAUACCCGCUGAACUUAA